UACGUAGGGUGCGAGCGUUGUCCGGAAUUAUUGGGCGUAAAGGGCUCGUAGGCGGUUUGUCGCGUCGGGAGUGAAAACGCCGUGCUUAACACGGCGCUUGCUUUCGAUACGGGCAGACUAGAGGUAUGCAGGGGAGAACGGAAUUCCUGGUGUAGCGGUGAAAUGCGCAGAUAUCAGGAGGAACACCGGUGGCGAAGGCGGUUCUCUGGGCAUUACCUGACGCUGAGGAGCGAAAGUGUGGGGAGCGAACAGGA
rnacentral:rRNA from 1 species